AUCUUUGUGACCAAAAAAGAUAAGAAGUGCUGGUGCUAUAUUGUAUCCAAAGAACUGAAAAAUGUAAAUAACGUGUACCCACAAAACUCAGAUGCAGGUAAAGGGAAGAGGCAGGGUUGGUACGCAUGGCUUGGAGUACUAUAGGUCAUAGAUAUACUGUAUAUAUUUUUGUUUUUCACCUUUUUCAUUUUUGUGUUAGAUCAUAUUAAUUAUAGGAAGGAAAUGGUUUAAAUAGGGGUUGGUGG
rnacentral:misc_RNA from 1 species